AUUGAACGCUGGCGGCAGGCCUAACACAUGCAAGUCGAGCGGAUGAAGGGAGCUUGCUCCUGGAUUCAGCGGCGGACGGGUGAGUAAUGCCUAGGAAUCUGCCUGGUAGUGGGGGAUAACGUCCGGAAACGGGCGCUAAUACCGCAUACGUCCUUAGGGAGAAAGUGGGGGAUCUUCGGACCUCACGCUAUCAGAUGAGCCUAGGUCGGAUUAGCUAGUUGGUGGGGUAAAGGCCUACCAAGGCGACGAUCCGUAACUGGUCUGAGAGGAUGAUCAGUCACACUGGAACUGAGACACGGUCCAGACUCCUACGGGAGGCAGCAGUGGGGAAUAUUGGACAAUGGGCGAAAGCCUGAUCCAGCCAUGCCGCGUGUGUGAAGAAGGUCUUCGGAUUGUAAAGCACUUUAAGUUGGGAGGAAGGGCAGUAAGUUAAUACCUUGCUGUUUUGACGUCACCAACAGAAUAAGCACCGGCUAACUUCGUG
rnacentral:rRNA from 1 species